ACUCCUACGGGAGGCAGCAGUGGGGAAUAUUGCACAAUGGGCGCAAGCCUGAUGCAGCCAUGCCGCGUGUGUGAAGAAGGCCUUCGGGUUGUAAAGCACUUUCAGUCGUGAGGAAGGUAGUGUAGUUAAUAGCGCAUUUAUUGAUCGUUAGCGACAGAAGAAGCACCGGCUAACUCCGUGCCAGCAGCCGCGGUAAUACGGAGGGUGCGAGCGUUAAUCGGAAUUACUGGGCGUAAAGCGCAUGCAGGUGGUUUGUUAAGUCAGAUGUGAAAG
rnacentral:rRNA from 1 species